GGACUUGCUGCUGGAAUGGGUUUGUAAGGCCUCCUAUCUUAUAUUCCUUCCUAUCAAUUUCUGUAAUGAAGUUGUAGGAUAAGAUCAACUCCUACAUUGUCUUUUGUGUCUCAAGAAAAGGAUUAUGUGAAAGAGAUCUAAUUUUAUUGGAGUGCAAGCCUAUAACAUCUAACAGGAUAUGCGAUCAACUAGCUGGAGAAUUUGUUGCCUUUUUAUUGUGGAAUCCUGUUCUCAUGCCAGUGAACUCUUGCAUAAAGAAAUUGAACUUUGUAAUUAGAAAUUUUGUUUUCCUUUUCAUAUAGUUAAUUUGGCCAGGUUGAGGAAUCUUUUUAUAAUAAGUUGUUCUCCUUUCUUCAUUUUUAAAUGCUUUUAGGGAUUUUGGAUGGCAGCAGCGGUA
rnacentral:misc_RNA from 1 species